rnacentral:sRNA from 2 species
UUGUAGUUUUUGUGUGAGGGAUAGAAACGACAUCCUUUUGUGAAGCGUUAGCGAAACAAAAGAUAUAGCGGAUAGCCCGACCGCAC